AAAUGGCGACCGCGGCAAAGCCUAGCCAGCCGCCGCGUACCGAGUCUUGCGUGGUGGCCGGUAACGGCCACUGCGAAGCGUAGACAGGGAGGUUGUAGGCCGGAACGAAAGUGAACGGAGAGAUAGCCCCGAAAUCCUACUGGUUGAAGCAGCUGACCCUAUUUCCCAAUGGGGAAAGCAGAAUCCCGGAAUGCAUUAGGGCGAGUGUUCUGGGGUGCUUCCGGGGUUCGUACCGCC
rfam:Betaproteobacteria bacterium RIFCSPLOWO2_12_FTLL_65_110 rifcsplowo2_12_scaffold_73353, whole genome shotgun sequence.